GUGCUUAUGCCCGUAUGUGACCAUGCCGGUAUCUGACCGCCUGACGUCACGAAGACCGAGUGAUCUUACCAUUUUGAACAAGCGAGACUACAAUUGUUGAGAGGACAAAAAGCCGGAGUCGACGAAUGCUACUGUAGAGUUUCACUGCUGUCGAGAAAGACACGGUGGCAACAACGAAACGCCAUGCAAAGAAAAGGCUGUGACGACAACGUGCGAAACGUCACUAUCCGUUUCCGAUGACUACAUAUGCUUUCUUGUAUUUCCUCAAGCUGGCAUUUUAGAAUCUCAUUGACUUACAGUAGGCUUUCUGCUUCGUCCUGUUUCCUACACAUGUUUAGCACGAAAUUAUCGAUUGGAGUGUCACAUGA